GACGAACGCUGGCGGCGUGCCUAAUACAUGCAAGUCGAGCGAAUCUUGAGGUGCUUGCACCUCUUGGUUAGCGGCGGACGGGUGAGUAACACGUGGGCAACCUGCCUGUAAGACUGGGAUAACACCGGGAAACCGGUGCUAAUACCGGAUAUCUCUUUUCCCCUCAUGGGGAGAAGCUGAAAGUCGGUUCACGCUGACACUUACAGAUGGGCCCGCGGCGCAUUAGCUAGUUGGUGAGGUAACGGCUCACCAAGGCGACGAUGCGUAGCCGACCUGAGAGGGUGAUCGGCCACACUGGGACUGAGACACGGCCCAGACUCCUACGGGAGGCAGCAGUAGGGAAUCUUCCGCAAUGGACGAAAGUCUGACGGAGCAACGCCGCGUGAGCGAUGAAGGCCUUCGGGUCGUAAAGCUCUGUUGUUAGGGAAGAACAAGUAUCGGAGUAACUGCCGGUACC
rnacentral:rRNA from 1 species